rnacentral:rRNA from 1 species
GACAGAGGUGCCGAGCGUUAGGCGGAAUCACUGGGCUUAAAGCGUGUGUAGGCGGGCCGUUAAGUGUCUUGUGAAAUCCCCCGGCUCAACCGGGGAACUGCUGGGUAUACUGGUUGUCUUGAGCCAGCUAGGGGCGAGCGGAACAGACGGUGGAGCGGUGAAAUGCGUAGAUAUCGUCUGGAACGCCGAAGGUGAAAACAGCUCGCUGGGGCUGCGCUGACGCUGAGACACGAAAGCCAGGGGAGCGAACGGG